ACCCGCUGGAUUUAAGCAUAUCAGUAAGCGGAGGAAAAGAAAAUAACAAUGAUUACCUCAGUAGCGGCGAGUGAAGAGGUAAAAGCCCAAGAUGAAAAUCUGUGUUAAAGACAUAGAAUUGUAAUCUAUGGAAUCAAUCAGAAAGCGGAAGCCUGCCAUAAGUCCCUUGGAACAGGGCGCCAGAGAGGGUGAAAGCCCCGUCUUAGGGUAGGAAGAAGCAAUAUGAAAGGUUUCUAAGAGUCGGGUAGUUUGGGAAUGCUGCCCUAAGAGGGAGAUAAACUUCUCCUAAGGCUAAAUAUUUAUAGGAGACCGAUAGAAUACAAGUACUGCGAAGGAAAGAUGAAAAGAACUUUGAAAAGAGGGUUAAAAGACUUGAAAUCGUUGAAAAGGAAGCAGUAAAAGAGAAAUGAUUUGCAGGUGAAUAAGGCUAGGAAUAGAUAAAAACGUACGUAAAAGGCGUUGGAGUCGAAAAAAAACUAGUUUUUUUACAGGCAAUAGACAAAAUGAGGGUGGGCUGUAAAAAUAAGGUUAAGAGUGAAUUCUCCGACUGGAAUUUACAGGCCAGCCUGAGGGAUCGGAAGAUGAUUUUGUCAAAAUGGCUUUUACUGACCCGUCUUGAAACACGGACCAAGGAGUCUACCUAUUAUGCGAGUGUUGGGGUGGAAAAACCCAAACGCAAACCGAAAGGGAUUAAAGAUGUGAGGCGAAAGCUGCAACAUCAACCAAUCUUGAUUCUACGAAGAAAGACUUGAGUAAGAGCAUAAUCGGUAGGACCCGAAAGAUGGUGAACUACGGUUGAGUAGGGUGAAGCCAGGGGAAACUCUGGUGGAGGCUCGAAGCGUUACUGACGUGCAAAUCGUUCGUCAAACUUGACUGUAGGGGCGAAAGACUAAUCGAACCAUCUAGUAGCUGGUUCCCUCUGAAAUUUCUCUCAGGAUAGCAGGAACAGAUAAAGCAGUUUUAUCAGGUAAAGCUAAUGAUUAGUGGAAUCGGGGGUCUCCGAUCCUUGACCAAUUCUCAAACUUUAAAUUGGUAAGAACCAGAAGUUUUCUUAAUUGAACUUUUGGGAAGAAUGCAGUGUUCUUAGUGGGCCAUUUUUGGUAAGCAGAACUGGCGAUGAGGGAUGAACCUAACGUUGAGAUAAGGUGCCAAAAUUCACGCUCAUCAGGCACCAGAAAAGGCGUUGGUUAGUUUAAACAGCCGGACUGUGGCCAUGGAAGUCGGCACCAGCUAAGGAGUGUGUAACAACUCACCAGCCGAAUUAACCAGCCCUGAAAAUUGAUGGCGCUAAGCGUGAUACCGAUACUCAACCAUCAUAGCAAAUAGAAGCAAUGAUGAGUAAGAGGGCGUGAAGACUGUGUAGAAGGCUUGGAUGUGAAUCUGGCUGGAACAGUCUUUAGUGCAGAUCUUGGUGGUAGUAGCAAAUAUUCAAAUGAGAACUUUGAAGACCGAAGUGGAGAAGGGUUCCAUGAGAACAGCAUUUGGUCAUGGGUUACUCGAUCCUAAGACAUAGGGAAAUUCCUUGUAAUACGUUUGCACUUACGUGCAUGUAGUCAAAAGGGAAUGAGGUUCAUAUUCCUCAAGCUGGAUGUGGGAGCUAUGUGGUAACACAAACAAGCUCGGAGACAUCGGUAUGGGCAACUGGAAGAGUUCUCUUUUCUUCUUAACAGUCUAUCUCCCUGAAAGGAUUAUCCAGAGCUAGGGAUAUAAGGCUGGCAGAGCAGUUCUCCAUUGAAUUGUCAGUGAAGCUCAUAACGAUCCUUGAAAAUCCGAGUAAGAUUAUCUCAUCACACCAGGUCGUACCCAUAACCGCAUCAGGUCUCCAAGGUU
rnacentral:rRNA from 1 species